GGAGUAGUAGCUCAGUUGGUUAGAGCGCUUGCCUGUCACGCAAGAGGUCGCGGGUUCGAGUCCCGUCUAUUCCGCCA
rnacentral:tRNA from 1 species